rnacentral:pre_miRNA from 8 species
CCAGGCUGAGGUAGUAGGUUGUAUAGUUUAGAAUUACAUCAAGGGAGAUAACUGUACAGCCUCCUAGCUUUCCUUG